rnacentral:rRNA from 1 species
CCAGACUCCUACGGGAGGCAGCAGUGGGGGAUAUUGCACAAUGGGGGGAACCCUGAUGCAGCGACGCCGCGUGGGUGAAGAAGCGCCUCGGCGCGUAAAGCCCUGUCAGCAGGGAAGAAAAUGACGGUACCUGAAGAAGAAGCCCCGGCUAACUACGUGCCAGCAGCCGCGGUAAUACGUAGGGGGCAAGCGUUAUCCGGAUUUACUGGGUGUAAAGGGAGCGUAGACGGUAGAGCAAGUCUGAAGUGAAAGCCCGCGGCUCAACUGCGGGACUGCUUUGGAAACUGUUCAACUGGAGUGCUGGAGAGGUAAGCGGAAUUCCUAGUGUAGCGGUGAAAUGCGUAGAUAUCAGGAGGAACACCGGCGGCGAAGGCGGCCUGCUGGACCGUGACUGACGUUGAGGCUCGAGAGCGUGGGGAGCAAACAGGAUUAGAUACCCGCGUAC